UACGUAGGGGGCAAGCGUUGUCCGGAAUCAUUGGGCGUAAAGCGUGCGCAGGCGGUUUUGUAAGUCUGUCGUGAAAUCCCCGGGCUCAACCUGGGAAUUGCGAUGGAGACUGCAAGGCUAGAAUCUGGCAGAGGGGGGUAGAAUUCCACGUGUAGCAGUGAAAUGCGUAGAGAUGUGGAGGAACACCGAUGGCGAAGGCAGCCCCCUGGGUCAAGAUUGACGCUCAUGCACGAAAGCGUGGGGAGCAAACAGG
rnacentral:rRNA from 1 species